UGUGCUCUCCCGCUCUGGAAAUCUCCCCCUCCUCAGCCCAACGUUCUCGGGCACGCAAACGCGCACCAGCU